UUUUAUGGAGAGUUUGAUCCUGGCUCAGGAUGAACGCUGGCGGCGUGCCUAAUACAUGCAAGUCGAGCGAACGGACGAGAAGCUUGCUUCUCUGAUGUUAGCGGCGGACGGGUGAGUAACACGUGGAUAACCUACCUAUAAGACUGGGAUAACUUCGGGAAACCGGAGCUAAUACCGGAUAAUAUUUUGAACCGCAUGGUUCAAAAGUGAAAGACGGUCUUGCUGUCACUUAUAGAUGGAUCCGCGCUGCAUUAGCUAGUUGGUAAGGUAACGGCUUACCAAGGCAACGAUGCAUAGCCGACCUGAGAGGGUGAUCGGCCACACUGGAACUGAGACACGGUCCAGACUCCUACGGGAGGCAGCAGUAGGGAAUCUUCCGCAAUGGGCGA
rnacentral:rRNA from 1 species